AAACAAGAACACUAAUAAAACUAUCAAUCUUCUCAAUUCUUAAUAACAAUAUACAAAAUUUAGCAAAACAAGAACACUAAUAACACUAUCAAUCUUCUCAUUUCUUGAUAACAAUAUACAAAAUUUAACAAAACAAGAACACUAAUAACACUGUCAAUCUUCUCAUUUCUUGAUAACAAUAUACAAAAUUUAGCAAAACAAGAACACUAUCAAUCUUCUCAUUUUUUGAUAACAAUAAAGAAAAUUUAGCAAAACAAGAACACUAAUAACACUAUCCAUCCUUUCAUUUCUUGAUAACAAUAUACAAAAUUCAGCAAAACAAGAACCCUAAUAACACUAUCAAUCUUCUCAUUUCUUGAUAACAAUAUACAAAAUUCAGCAAAACAAGAACACUAAUAACAGUAUCAAUCCUCUCAUUUCUUGAUUACAAUAUACAAAAUUUAGCAAAACAAGAACAUUAAUAACAUUAUCAAUCUUCUCAUUUCUUGAUAACAAUAUACAAAAUUUAGCGAAACAAGAACACUACUAACACUAAAUCAAUCUUCUCAUUUCUUUUAAUAAACAAUAUACAAAAUUUAGCAAAACAAGAACACUAAUAACAUCUAAUCAAAUCUUCUCAAUUUCUGAUGUAACAAUAUACAAAAUUUAGCAAACCAAGAACAUAAUAACACUAUCAAUCUCUCAUCAUUUCUUGAUAAACAAUAUACAAAUUUUAUGCAAAACAAGAAACACUAAUAAACACUAUCAAUCUUUCCAUUUCUUGAUAACAAUAUACAAAAUUUAGCGAAACAAGAACAAUAAUAACACUACACAAUCUUUAUUCUGAAUAAACAAUAUACAAAAUUUAGCAAAACAAGAACCAUCUAAUAAGCAUUCUAUCAAAUCUUCUCAUUUCUUGAUAACAAUAUACAAAAUUUAGCAAACUAGAUACACUAAUACACUAUCAAUCUUUCUCAUUUCUUUGAUAACAAUAUAUCUACUAAAUAUUAGCAAAAACAAGAACACUAAUAACAAAUGUAUCAAUCCUCUCAUUUCUUAAUAACAAUCUAAAUAAAAUUUAGCAAACAAGACAAUAACACUUCAAUCCUCUCAUUCUGAUAACAAACAUAUAACAAACAAACACUAAUCACUAUCAAUCUUCUGCAUUUCUUGAUGAACAUAUACAAAAUUUUAGCAAAACAAGACACUAAUAACACAUAUCAAUCUUCUCAUUUUUGAUAACAAUAUACAAAUUAAAAAAAACCAAGAACACUAAUAACACUAUCAAUCUUCUCAUUUCUUAUAACAAUGAUACUAAAAUUUAGCAAAACAAGAACACUAAUAACACAUAUCAAUCUUCUGACUUUCUUGAUAACAAUAUAAAAAAAUUUAGCAGAAACAGAACACUAAUAAACUAUCAAUCUUCUCAUUUUCCUUAAUAACAAUAUACAAAUUUAAAAACAAGAACACUAAAUAACACUAUCAAUCUUCAUUUCUUGAUAAACAAUAUCAAAAUUAGCAAAACAACAUUAAUAACACUAGUCAUCUCUCAUUUCUUGAUACAAUAUACAAAUUUAGAAAAACAAGAACACUAUACACUAUCAUCUUCUCAAAUUUUCUUGAUAACAAUAUACAGAAAUUUAGCCAAUAACAAGAACACUAAUAACACUAUCAUCUCUCAUUUCUUGAUACAAUAUAUCAAAAUUCGCAAUACAAAGAAACUAUAACACUAUCAACUUCUCAUUCUUGAUAACAAUAUACAAAUUAGGCAAACACAAAACACUAAUAACACCUAUCAAUCUCUCAUUUCUUGAUAACAUAUACAAAAUUUAGCAAAACAAGAACAUAUAACAUUAUCCAUCUUCUCAUUUCUUGAUAACAAUAUACAAAUUUACGAAACAAGAACACUAAUAACACUAUCAAUCUUCCUCAUUUUUGAAUCAACAAUAUACAAAAUUUAGCAAAACAAGAAACUAAUAACACUAUCAAUCUUUCUCAUUUCUUGAUAAAAUAUACAAUUUAGCAAAAACAGAAGCACUAAUAACACUAUCAAUUGUCCUCAUUUUCUUUGAUAACAAAUACAAAAUUUAGCAAAAACAAGAACACUAUAACACUAUCAAUCUUCCAUUUCUUGAUAACAAAUACAAAUUUAGCAAAACAAGAACAAUAAUAACACUUCAAUCUUCUUUCCUUGAUAACAAUAUACAAAAUCUAGCAAAAAAGAACACUAAUAACACUAUCAAUCUUCUGUUCUUUUGAUAACAAUAUACAAAUUUGCAAAACAGAGAACACUAAUAACACUUCAUCUUCUCAUUUUUCAUAACAAUAUACAAAUUUACAAACAAGAACAUAAUAACAUAUCUAUCUUCUCAAUUUUCUUUGAUAACAAUAUACAAAUUUAGCAAAACAAGAACAUAAUAACACUAUCAAUCUUCUCAUUUCUGAUAACAAUAUACAAAAUUUAGCAAAACAAGAACAAAUAACAUAUCAAUCUUCUAUUUCUUGAUAACAAUAUACAAAUUUAGCAAAACAAGAACACUAAUAACACAAAUCUUCUCAUUCUUGAUAAAUAUACAAAAUUUAGCAAAACAAGAAACACUAAUAACAUUAUCAAUUCUCUCAUUUCUUAAUAACAAUACAUAAUUUAGCAAACAAGAACAUAAUAACACUGCUUCAUCUCUCAUUCUUGAUAACAAUAUACAAAAUAUAGCAAAACCAGAAACACUAAUACACUCAUCAAUCUUCUCAUUUCUUGAUAACAAUAUACAAAAUUUGCAACAGAACAUAAUACACUAUCAAUCUUCUCAUUUCUUGAUUAACAUAUACAAAAUUUAAAAAAAAACAAGAACACUAAUAACACUAUAUCUCUCAUUUCUUGAUAACAAUAAUACAAAAUUUAGCAAAACAAGACACUAAUAACAUUCAAUCUUCUCAUUUCUUGAUAAACAAUAUAAAAAAUUUAGCAAAACAAGAACAUAAUAACUAUCAAUCUUCUCAUUUCUUAAACAAUAUACAAAAUUUAGAAAAACAGAACACUAAUAACAUAUCAUCUUCUCAUUUCUUGAUAACAAUAUACAAAUUUAGCAACAAGAACACUAAUAACACUUCAAUCUUCUCAUUUUUGAUAACAAUAUACAAAAUUUAGCAAAACAAGAACACUAUCAAUCUUCUCAUUUUUGAUAACAAUAUACAAAAUUUAGCAAAACAAGAACACUAAUAACACUAUCAUCUCUCAUUUCUGAUAACAAUAUACAAAAUUCAGAACAAACAAGAAGCUUCAUUCUUGAUAACAACUAUCAUUCCAACAAGACAUAUCAUUCCAUGUCUGAUAAAUGAAAAUUUCUAAGCAAAUCAAGACACAAUAAACAUCCACUACAUUUGAACAAUUUUACGAACAAGAAAUGAUACACUCUCCAAUUCUCAUUCUGAUAACAAUAUACAAAUUUAGAAAACAAGAACUUAUCAAUCCUCUCAUUUCUUGAUAACAAUAUACAUAAUUUAGCAAAACAAGAACACUAAUAACACUAUCAAUCUUCUCAUUUCUUGAUAACAAUAUACAAAAUUUAGAAAAACAAGAACACUAAUAACACUAUCAAUCUUCACAUUUCUUGAUAACAAUAUACAUAAUUUAGCAAAACAAGAACAAUAAUAACACUCUCAGUCCUCUUUUUUCUUGAUAAUAAUAUACAAAAUUUAACAAAAGAAGAACACUAAUAACACUAUCAAUCUUCUGAUUUCUUGAUAACACUAUACAAAAUUUAGCAAAACAAGAACACUAAUAACACUGUCAAUCUUCUCAUUUCUUGAUAACAAUAUACAAAAUUUAGCAAAACAAGAACACUAUUAAUCUUCUCAUUUUUUGAUAACAAUUUACAAAAUUUAGCAAAACAAGAACACUAAUAACACUAUCCAUCCUCUCAUUUCUUGAUAACAAUAUACAAAAUUCAGCAAAACAAGAACCCUAAUAACACUAUCAAUCUUCUCAUUUCUUGAUAACAAAAUUUAGCACAAACAAGAACACUAAUAAACACUAUCAAUCUUUCUUGAUAACAAUAUACAAAAUUCAGCAAAACAAGAACACUAAUAACACUAUCAAUCUUCUCAUUUCUUGAUAACAAUAUACAAAAUUCAGCAAAACAAGAACACUAAUAACACUAUCAAUCCUGUCAUUUCUUGAUAACAAUAUACAAAAUUUAGCAAACCAAGAACAUUAAUAACAUUAUCAAUCUUCUCAUUUCUUGAUAACAAUAUACAAAAUUUAGCAAAAUAAGAACACUAAUAACACUAUCAAUCUUCUUAUUUCUUGAUAACAAUAUACAAAAUUUAGCAAAGCAAGAACACUAAUAACACUAUCAAUCUUCUCAUUUCUUGAUAACAAAAUAGAAAAUUUAGCAAAACAAGAACACUAAUAACAAUAUCAAUCCUCUCAUUUCUUGAUAACAAUAUACAUAAUUUAGCUAAACAAGAACACUAUCAAUCUUCUCAUUUCUUGAUAACAAUAUACAAAAUUUAGCAAAACAAGAACACUAAUAACACUAUCAAUCCUCUCAUUUCUUAAUAACAAUAUACAAAAUUCAGCAAAACAAGAACCCUAAUAACACUAUCAAUCUUCUCAUUUCUUGAUAACAAUAUACAAAAUUCAGCAAAACAAGAACACUAAUAACACUAUCAAUCCUCUCAUUUCUUGAUAACAAUAUAAAAAGUUUAGCAAACAAGAACACAAUAACACUAUCAAUCUUCUCAUUUCUUAAUACAAAUAUAGAAAAUUUAGCAAAACAAGAACACUAAUAACACUAAUCAAUCUCUCUCUUUCUUAGAUAACAAUAUACACAAAUUUUAGCAAAACAAGAACACUAAUAACAUUAUCAAUCUUCUCAUUUCUGAUAACAAUUAGACAAAUUUAGCAAAACAAGAACACUAUAUAACACUAUCAAUCUUUCUCAUUUCUUGAUAACAAUAUACAAAAUUAUAAAAACAGAAACACUAAUAACACUAUCAAUCUUCUCAUUUCUUGAUAACAAUAUAACAAAAUUUAGCAAAACAAGAACACUAAUAACACUAUCAAUCUUCUCAUUUCUUGAUAAAAAUAGCAAAAUUAGCAAAACAAGACACUAUAACAACUAUCAAUCUUCUCAUUUCUUAAUAACAAUAUACAAAUUUAGCAAAAAGAACACUAAUAACACUAUCAAUCUUUCCAUUUCUUGAUAACAAUAUACAAAAUUGCAAAACAAGAACACUAAUAACACUCAAUUCUUCUCAUUUCUUGAUAACAAUAUACAAAAUUUAGCAAAACAAGAACACUAUCAAUCUUCUCAUUUCUUGAUAACAAUAUACAAAAUUUAGCAAACAAGAAACACUAAUAACACUAUCAUCUCUCAUUUCUUGAUAACAAUAUACAAAAUUCAGCAAAACAAGAACCUAAUAACAUAUCAAUCUUCUCAUUUCUUGAUAACAAUAUACAAAAUUCAGCAAAACAAGAACAUAAUAACUAUCAAUCCUCUCAUUCUUGACAACAAUAUACAAAAUUAAGGCAAAACAAGAACAUUAAUAACAUUAUCAAUCUUCUCAUUUCUUGAUAACAAUAUACAAAAUUUAGCGAAACAAGAACACUAAUAACACUAUCAAUCUUCUCUUUUUUCUUAAUAACAAUAUACAAAAUUUAGCAAAACAAGAACACUAAUAACACUAUCAAUCUUCUCAUUUCUUGAUAACAAUAUACAAAAUUUAGCAAAAACAAGAACACUAAUAAACACAUCAAUCUUCUCAUUUCUUGAUAACAAUAUACAAAAUUUAGCAAAGCAAAGAACACUAAUAACACUAUCAAUCUUCUCAUUCUUGAAUAACAAAAUAGAAAAUUUAGGCAAAACAAGAACACUAAUAACAUCAAUCCUUCAUUUCUUGAUAACAAUAUACAAAUUUAGCAAAACAAACACUAAUAACAUAUCAACCUCAUUUCUUGAUAACAAUAUACAAAAUUUGCAAAACAAGAACACUAUAUUAACACUAUCAAUUUCUCAUUUCUUAAUAACAAUAUACAAAAUUUAGCAAAAAAAACAAAACAUAAUAACACUAUCAAUCUCUCAUUUCUUGAUAACAUAUACAAAAUUUGGCAAAACAAGAACACUAAUAACACUAUCAAUGCUUCUUCAUUUCUUGAUAACAAAUAUACAAAUUUAAAAACAAGAACACUAUAACAACUAUCAAUCUUCUCAUUUCUUGAUAACAAUAUACAAAAUUUAGCAAAACAAGAAACUAAUAACACUAUCAAUCUUCUCAUUUCUUGAUAACAAUAUCAAAAUUUAGCAAAACAAGAACACUAUAACACUAUCAAUCUUCUCAUUUCUUAAUAACAAUAUACAAAAUUUAGCAAAACAAGAACACUAAUAACACUAUCAAUCUCUCAUUUCUUGAUAACAAUAUACAAAAUUUAGCAAAACAAGAACACUAAUAACACUUCAAUCUUCUCAUUUCUUGAUAACAAUAUACAAAAUUUAGCAAACAAGAACACUAAAACACUAUCAAUCUUCUCAUUUCUUGAUAACAAUAUAAAUUUAGCAAAACAAGAACACUAAUAACAACAUCUCAUCCUCUAUUUCUGAUAACAAUAUACAAAAUUCAGCAAACAAGAACCCUAAUAACACUAUCAAUCUUCUCAUUUCUUGAUAACAAUAUACAAAAUUCAGAAACAAGAACACUAAUAACACUAUCAAUCUUCUCAUUUCUUGAUAACAAUAUAAAAUUUAGCAAAAACAAGAACAUUAAUAACAUUAUCAUCUUCUCAUUUCUUGAUACAAUAUACAAAAUUUAGCAAAAAAGAACACUAAUAACACUAUCAAUCUUCUCAUUUCUUGAUAACAAUAUACAAAAUUUAGCAAACAAGAAACUAAAACACUAAUAAUCUCUCAUUUCUUGAUAACAAUAUACAAAAAUUAUAGAAAACAAGAACACUAUCAAUCUUCCUCAUUUUUUGAUAACAAUAUCAAAAUUUAGCAAAACAGAACACUAAAACACUAUCUCUUCUCAUUUCUUGAUAACAAUAUACAAUUCGCAAAACAAGAACACUAAUAACACUAUCAAUCUUCUCAUUUCUUGAUAACAAUAUACAAAAUUUAGCAAAACAAGAACACUAAUAACACUAUCAAUCCUCUCAUUUCUUGACAACAAUAUACAAAAUUUAGCAAAACAAGAACAUUAAUAAACUAUCAAUCUUCUCAUUCUUAUAACAAUAUACAAAAUUUAAGCGAAACAAGAACACUAAUAACACUAUCAAUCUUCUCAUUUCUAUAAUAACGAAUAUACAAAAUUUAGCAAAAAAGAAAACACUAAUAACACUAUCAAUCUUCUCAUUUCUUGAUAACAAUAUACAAAAUUACAAAACAGAACAACUAAUAACACAUCAAUUUUCUCAUUUCUUGAUAACAUAUACAAAAUUUAGCCAAAAGCAAGAAACACUAAUAAACUAUCAAUCUUCUCAUUUCUUAAUAACAAUAAUAGAAAAUUUAGCAAAACAAGAAACACUAAAACACUAUCAAUCAUCUCAUUUCUUAAUAAACAAUACANNNNNNNNNNNNNNNNNNNNNGGCAAAAAAAGAAGGGAGAGGAGGGAGGAGUAGAGGGAAUAUAUAUCUGCAACAUACAGCCAGGAGAGUAUUAUAUUUAAUUUUAAUAUAGAGAGAAUUCACACACAUUACAGUAAGUAACUCAAUAUAUAUAAAUUAACAACAUCUCUAUAUGUAUUAUAAUAUACACAUAUAAUCUAUAUAUUAUCUCAAUCUAGUAUCACUAAUUAGAUAUCACUUAGAUCACAUACACCUUAUAACUCACAAAAAGAAUAUUUUAUAUAUAUAGCGCGAGAGAUAUAUAUACCACUCACUAGAAAAUACACAAAUCACAAAUUAUGACACCACUAUAUUCUUUCACAAAUGAGUUGACAUUAUAUAUAUAAAUACUAAAUAUUGUGUAGCAACAAUGAUAUAAUACUCACGCUUAUAAAUAACAUCUAUAGUAAGAAAGAAGAAAUAUUUAUGAAUAAACAAUCAUUGCUAUAUAAUAAUGAGAGAGUGCACAACACAUAAUAUAGGAACAUCAAUAUAGUAACAACAUAAUUCGGAUUAUGUCUCUCUCUAUAUGCUCAUAAUUUAUGCGUAUUAGAUAUAAAAAUAAUACAAAUAGCUUCUCACAUGCAAUAAAUGCAGGAUCACAAAUAUAUAUUAACACUAGUAAUCACAAACUUACUUACUCAUUUUUCUUGAAUAACUAAAUAUAUAACUUUUAAAGCACAUAACCACACGUAUAUUCACCUAAUAAACACUAUCAAUCUCUCAUUUCUUGAUAACAAUAUACAAAAUUUAGCAAAAACAAGAAACAACUAUAAUAACAUUAUCAAUUCGCUCUCAUUUCUUGAAAACAAUAUACAUAAUUUAGCAAAACAAGAACAAUAAAACACUCUCAAUCCUCUCAUUUCUUAAUACAAUAUACAAAAUUUAAGAAAAAGAAGAAACACUAAUAACACUAUCAAUCUCUGAUUUCUUGAUAACAAUAACAAAAUUAGCAAAACAAGAACACUAAUAACACUAUCAAUCUUCUCAUUUUCUUAUAACAAUAUACCAAAAUUUAAGCAAAACAAGAAACACUAAUAACACUAUCAAUCUUCUCAUUUCUUGAUAACAAUAUACAAAAUUUAGCAAAACAAGAACACUAAUAAACACUAUCAAUCUUCUCAAUUCUUGAUAACAAUAUACAAAAUUAAAAAAACAAAAGAACACUAAUAACACUAAUCAAUCUUCUCAUUUCUUGAUAACAAAUAUACAAUUUAAAAAACAAGAACACUAAUAACACUAUCAAUCUCUCAUUUCUUGAUAACAAUACUACAAAUUGCAAAACAAGAACACUAAUAACACUCAAUCUUCUCAUUUCUUAUAACAAUAAAAAAUUUAGCAAACAAGAACACUAAUAACACUAUCAAUCUUCUAUUUCUUGAUAAACAAUAUAAAAAAUUUAGCAAAAUAAAAACACUAAUAACACUAUCAAUCUUCUCAUUUCUUGAUAACAAUAUAAAAAAUUUAGCAAAAACAGAGACACUAAUAACACUAUCAAUCUUCUCAUUUCUUGAUAACAAUAUACAAAAUUUAGCAAAACAAAGAACACUAAUAAAACUAUCAAUCUUCUCAUUUCUUGAAUAACAAAUACAGAAUUUUAGCAAAACAAAGAACACUAAUAACACUAUCAAUCCUCUCAUUUCUUGAUACCAAUAUACAAAUUUAGCAAAACAAGAACACUAAUAAACUAUCAAUCUCUCAAUGUUCUUGAUAAUACAAUAUAUAAAUUUAGCACAAACAAGAACACUAAUAAACACUAUCAAUCUCUCAUUUCUUGAUAACAAUUACAAAUUUAGCAAAACAAGAACGUACUAAUAACACUAUCAAUCCUCAUUUCUUGAUAACAAUAUACAAAUUAGGAAACAAGAACACUAAUAACACUAUCAAUCUUAAUUUCUUGAUAACAAUAUACAAAAUUAGCAAAACAAGAACACUAAUAACACUAUCAUCUUCUCAAUUUCUUGAUAACAAAUAAUACAAAAAUUUAGCAAACAAGAACACUAAUAACACUAUCAAUCUUCUAAUUUCUUGAUAACAAUAUACAAAAUUUAGGAAAAAAGACAUGAUAACAUAUCAAUCUUCUCAUUCUUUUGAUAACAAAAUACAAAUUUAAGCAAAGCAAAGAACACUAAUAAAACUUCAAUUUCUCAUUUCUUGAUAACAAAAUAGAAAAAUUUUAGCAAAACAAGAACACAAAUUACUAUCAUCUUCUCAUUUCUUGAUAACAAUAUAUCAAAAUUAGCAAAACAAGAACAGCUAUAACAUUAAUGCAAUCCUCUCAUUUCUUGAUAACAAUAUACAUAAUUAGCAAAAACCAAGAAACACUAAUCAUCUUCUCAUUUCUUGAUAAUAAUAUACCCAAAAUUUAGCAAAACAGAACCAAUAACACUAUCGAUCCUCUCCCUUUCUUGAUAACAAAUAAAGUACGAAAUUCAGCAAAAAAGAACGCUAAUAACUACUAUCAGAUCUUCUCAUUUCUUGAUAACAAUAUACAAAAUUCAGCAAAACAAGAACACUAAUAACAUUAUCAAUCCUCUCAUUCUUGAUCAACAAAUAUAACAAAAUUUAGCAAAACAAGAACAUUAAUAACAUUAUCAAAUCUUUCCAUUUCUUGAUAACAAUAUAGAAAAUUUAGGCGAAACAAGAACACUAUAACACUAUCAAUCAUCCUUUCAUUUCUAAUAAUAAUAUAAAAUUUAGCAAAACAAGAACAACUAAAUAACACGUCAAAUCUUCACAUUUCUUGAUAAACAAUAUACAAAAUUUAGCAAAACAAGAACACUAAUAACACUAAUCGAUCUUCUCAUUUUCUUGAUAACAAUAUACAAAAUUUAAAGCAAAGCAAGACCACUAAUAACACUAUCCAAGCUUCUCAUUUCUUGAUAACAAAAUAGAAAAUUUAGCAAAACAAGAACACCUGAAUACACUAUCAUCCUUCUCAUCUCUUGAUAACAGUAUAUCAAAACUUUAGCAAAACAAGAACACUAAUAACAUUAUCAAUCCUCUCAUUUUCUUGAUAACAAUAUACAUAAUUUAGCAAAACCAAAACAAUAUACAACACUCUCAAUCCUCUCAUUUCUUAAUAACAAUAUACAAAAUUUAAGAAAAGAAGAACACUAAUGACACUAAUCAAUCUUCUGAUUUCUGAUAAACAAUCUACAAAAUAUAGCAAAACAAAGAACAUAAUAACACUAUGCAAAUCUUCUCAAUUUCUCAUAACAAUUAACAAAAUUUAGCAAAACAAAACACUAAAUAACACUAUCAUCUUCUCAUUUUUUGUACAAUAUAACAAAUUUAGCAAAACAAAGAACACUAAUAACACUAAUCAAUGCUUCUCAUUUCUUGAUACAAUAUACAAAAUUUUAGGCAAAACAAGAAACUAUAACACUAUCAAUCUUUCUCUAUUUCUUGAUAACAAUAUACAAAAUUUUUAAAAAAUAACAAGAACACAAUAACACUAUCAAUUUCUCAUUUCUCCUUGAUAACAAUAUACAAAAUUUAGCAAAACAAAAACACUAAUAACACUAUCAAUCUUCUAAUUUCUUGAUAAGCAAAUAUAAUCAAAAUUUUAGCAAAACAAUAACACUAAUACACUAUCAAUCUUCUCAUUUCUUUCUUGAUAACAAUAUACAAAACUUAAAAAAACAAAGAACACUAAUAAACACUACAUCUUCUCAUUUUUGAUAACAAAUUUACAAAACUUUAAAAAAACAAAAAACUAAUAACACUAUCAAUCUUCUCAUUUCUGAUAACAUAGAUAAAAUUUUGCAAAAACAACGAACACUAAUAACUACUGUCACUCUUCUCAUUUCUGAUAAACAAUAUACAAAAUUUAGCAAAACAAGAACACUAAUAACACUAUCAAUCUUCUGAUUUUCUUGAUAACAAUUUAUACAUAAUUUUGGCCAAAUAAAAACCUAAUAACACUAUAAAUCUCUUCAUUUCUUGAUAACGAUAUAAAAACUUAGCAAAAACAAGGACACUAAUAACACUAUCAAUCUUCACUUUCCUUGAUAUACAAUGAUACAAAAUUUAGCAAAACAGAAACACUAAUACAAAAACUAUCAAUCUUCUCAUUUCUUGAUAACAAUAACAGAAUUUUGCAAAACAAGAACAUUGAUAAACUAUCAAUCCUCUCAUUUCUUGAUAACAAUAUAACAAGAAUUUAGCCAAAAAAAGAACACUAAUAAACUCUAAUCCUCCAAUUUCUUGAUAAUAAUAUCAUAAAAUUUUAGCAAAACAAGAAACCAUAACACUAUCAAUCCUCUCAUUUAUUGAUAACAAUGUAACAGAAUUUAUCAAAGAACAAGAACACUAUAACACUUAUCAAUCCUCUUCAUUUCUGAUAACAAUUAGCAAAUUGCAGUAACAAAACAAGAAUACUAAUAUACUACUCUCAUCUUCUUCAUUUCUGAUAUACUAUAUUAUCAUAAAUUCAGCAAAACAUAGAACACUAUAACACUAUCAUCCUCUCAAUUUCUUGAAUAACAACAUACAAAAUUUAGCAAAACAAGAACAUUAAUAACAUUUAUCAAGUCUUCUCAUUUCCUUGAUAACAAUACUACAAAAUUUAGCAAAAACAAGAACACUAAUAACGAAUUUUCAAUUCUUUUUCAAUUUCCUUGAUUAACAAUAUACAAAAUUUAGCAGAAGCAAGAACAGACUAAUAAACUGAUCAAUCUUCUCAUCUUCUGAUAACAAAAAUAGAAAAUUUAGCAAAACAGAAGAAACACUAAUAACACUAAUCAUUCCUUCUCAUUUUCUUGAUAACAAUAUACAAAAAUUUAGCAAAACAGAACACUAAUAACAAUUAUCAUCCAAUCAUUUUCUUGAUAACAAUAUAUCAAAAUUUAGCAAACAAAAACAACUAAUAACACAAUCAAUCCUCCUCAUUUUCUUGAUUUAACAAUAUACAAAAUUCAGCAAAACAAGAACAGCCUAAUAACACUAUCAAUCUUUCAAUUUCUUAAUAACAAUAUACAAUUCAGCAAAACAAGAACACUAAUAACACUAUAUCCUCGUCAAUUUUCUUGAUAACAAUAUACAAUUUAAGCAAAAACAAGAACAUUAAUAACAUUAUCAAUCUUCUCAUUUCUUGAUAACAAUAUACCAAGUUAAGCAAAACAAGGACACUAAUAACACUAUCAAUCAUCUCAUUUCUUAAUAAUAAUAAUAUCAAAAUUUAGCAAAACAAGACCACUAAUAAACUAUGCAAUCUUCUCAUUUCUUGAUAACAAUAUAACAAAAUUUAAGCAAAACCCAAGAACACUCAUUAACACUAUCAUCUUCUCAUUUCUUGAUAACAACAUAACAAAUUACAAACCCAAGAACACUAAUAACACUAUCAAUCUCACAUUCUUGAUAAGCAAAUAUACAAAAUUUAGCAAACAAGAACAUUAAUAAACUAUCAAUCCUCUCAUUUCUUGAAUAACAAUAUACAAAUAUUCAGCAAAACAAGAACCUAAUAACAACUAUCAAUCUUCUCAUUUCUUGAAUAACAAUAUAAACUAAAAUUCAGCAAGAAGCAAGAACACUAAUAACCACUGUCAAUCCUCUCAAUUUCUGAUAACAAUUCAAAUUAAGCAAAACAAGAAAUAUUAAUAACAUAUCAAUCUUCUCAUUCUUAUAACAAUAUACAAGAAUUUGGCGAAACAAGGAACACCUAAUAACACAGAAUCAAUCAUCGUCAUUUUUAAUAAUAAUAUACAAAAUUUAGCACCACAAGAACACGUAAUAACACUACAAUCUUCUCAUCUUGAAUAACAAUAGUAUAAAUUAGCAAAACAAAGAAUAACUAAUAACGACUAUCACUCUUCGUCUUUCUUGAUAAGAAAAUACAAAAGUUUUAGCAAAACAAGAACAGCUAAUAACACUUUAUCGAAUCUUCACAUUUCUUGAUAACAAUAUACAAAAUUUAGGCAAAACCAAGAACACUAAUAACACUAUCAAUCCUCAUCAUUUCUUGAUAACAAUAUACGAAAUUCAGCAAACAAGAACCUAAUACACUAUCAAUCUUCACAUUUUCUGAUAACCAAUAUAAUAAUUUAUGCAAAACAAGAACACUAAUAACACUAUCCAAUCCUCUCAUUUAUUGAUAACAAUGUACAGAAUUUCAGCAAAGACAAGAACACUAAUAACACUAUCAAUCCUCAUCAUUUCUUCCUUGAUAACAAUAACAAAAUUCAGCAAAACAAGAAACACUAAUAACACUAUCAAUCUUCUCAUUUCUUGAUAACAAUAUACAAAAUUUCAGCAAAACAAGAACACUAUAACACUAUCAAUCCUCUAUUUCUUGAUAAACACAUACAAAAUUUAGCAAACAAAACAUUACUCAAGCAUUAAUCAAUCUUCUCAUUUCUUGAUAACAAACAAAAUUAGCAAAACAAGACACUACUAAUAACCUUUCAAUCUUCUCAUUUCUUGAUAACAAUAUACAAAUUUAGCAAAACAAGACACUAAUAACACUAUCAAUCUUCUCAUUUCUUGAUAACAAAUACAAAAUUUAGCAAAAGAAGAACACUAAAUACACUAUCAAUCUUCUCAUUUCUUGAUACAAUAUACAAAAUUUAGCAAAACAAGAACACUAAUAACAAUUCAUCCUCUCAUUUCUUUGAUAACAAAUACAAAAUUUAGCAAAAACAAGAGAACACUAUAACACUAUCAAUCCUCUCAUUUCUUGAUAACAAUAUACAAAAUUUCAGCAAAACAAGAACCCUAAUACACAUUCAAUCUUCUCAUUCUCUUAUAAACAAUAUACAAAAUUCAGCAAAACAAGAACACUAAUAACACUAUCAAUCCUCUCAUUUCUGAUAACAAUAUACAAAAUUUAGCAAAACAAGAACACUUAAUAACACUAUCAAUCGUUCUCAUUUUGAUAACAAUAUACAAAUUUAGCAACAAAACAAGAACACUAAUAAACAUUAUCAAUCCUCUCAUUCUUUGAUGAACAAUAUACAAAAUUUAGCAAAACAAGAACACUAAUAAACACUAUCAAUCCUCUCAUUUCUUGAAACAAAUAUACAAAAUUCAGCAAAACAAGAACCCUAAUAACACUAUCAAGCUUCUCAUUUCUUGAUAACCAAUAUACAAAAAAUUCAGCAAAACAAGAACACUAAUAACACUAUCAAUCCUCUCAUUUCUUGUAACAAUAUACAAAUUAGCAAAACAAGCAACGAUUAUAACAGUUAUCAAUCUACUCAUUCUUGAUAACAAUAUACAAAAAGUUAGCGAAAACAAGGACACUAAUAACACUAUCAAUAUCUCAUUUCUUUAAUAAUAGAAUAUACAAAAUUAGCCAAACAAGACCCCUAAUAACCACUAUUCAAUCUUCUCAUUCUUGAUAACAAUAUCAAAUUUAGCCGAAAAACAAAGAACACUAAUUACACUAUCAAUCUUUCUCAUUUCUUGAUAAAAACAUACAAAAUUUAGCAAAACAAAGACAUAUAACACUAUUCAUCUUCACAUUCUUAUACAAUAUACCAAUUUAGCAAAACCAAGAAACACUAAAUAACACUAUCAAUCAAACAAGAACACUAAAACACUGAUAAUCUUCUCAUUUCUUAAUAACAAUAUACAAAUUCUAGCAAACAAGACACUAAUAACAUAUCAAUCUUCUCAUUUCUUUAUAAACAAUAUACAAAAUUUAGCAACAAGGAACAUUAAUAACAUAUAAUCUUCUUCAUUUCUGCUAAACAAUAUACAAAAUUUAGCGCAAACAGAACAGCUAAUAACACUUAUCCAAUACUUCUCAUUCUCUAAAUAACCAAUAUAAAAUUUAAACAAACAAGAAUAAUAACACAUAUCAAUCUUCUAUUCUUGAUAACAAUAGAUACAAAUUUGCAAAACAAGAACACAAAUCACUAUCAAUCUCUCAUUCUAUAUGAUAACAAUAUACAUAAAUUUAGCAACAAGAAACAUAUCAACUAUCAUCUCUAUUUCUAUAAACAAUAGAAAAUUUAGCAAAACAAGAACCUAAUAACACUAACAUCCUUCUCAUUUCUGGAUAACAAUAUACAAAUUUAGCAAACAAGAACACUAUCACCAUUAUCAAUCUCUUCAUCUUCUGAUACUUACAUAUUUGCCAAAAGACCAAUGACACAAUAUCUCACAUAAAACGUCAAUUUACAACCGAACACUAAUAACUAUAUCAUCUGUAAAACAAUCUAUAUUACAAAAUGUAACUCCUCUUCUCGAUCAAUUUCAAAUUGAAACGAAAACCUAAUACAUUAUAAUUUCAUUUAUAUCAAGCAAAACAAGAACUUAAAUACAUCUAUCACAGUUCUCUCAUUUUUAUUAACAAUAUACAAAAUUUAGCCAACAAGACACUAUAUAACGCCUCUCUACUAUCAAUAUAAAUCGCAACAAGUAUCUGCAAUUUCUUAUCUAUAACCAUAUACAAUUAGCAAACAAAGAAACAUUAAACAUCUAUCAAUCUUCUCAUUCUUGAUAACGAAUAUACAAAAUUUUAGCGAAAACAAGAAACACUAAUAACACUAUCAAUCUUCUAUUUACUUAGAUAACAAUACACAAAAUUUUAGCAAAACAAGAACACAACAACUAUCAUCUUCUCAUUUUAUAUAACAAUAUACCAAACAUUAGCAAAAAAGAACAUACUAAAACACAUUAUCAUUCCUUCUCAUUUCUUUGAUAACAAUUAUACAAAAUUCAGCCAAAGACAGAGAACCAUAAAACAUAGUCAAUCUUCUCAUUUCUUAAUAACAAAUAGCAAAUUUUAGCAAAACAAGGAACACUAAAUCAAAACACUAAUCAAUUUUCCAAUCUUCAUUUCUUGAUACCAAUAUACAAAAUUUAGCAAAACAAGAACACUAAUAACACUGUCAAUCUUCUCAUUCCUUGAUAACAAUAUACAAAAUUUAGCAAAACAAGAACACUAAUAACACUAUCAAUCCUCUCAUUUCUUAAUAACAAAAUAGAAAAUUUAGCAAAACAAGAACAUUAAUAACACUAUCAAUCUUCUCAUUUCUUGAUAACAAUAUACAAAAUUUAUCAAAACAAGAACACUAAUAACACUAUCAAUCCUCUCAUUUCUUGAUAACAAUAUACAAAAUUCAGCAAAACAAGAACACUAAUAACACUAUCAAUCUUCUCAUUUCUUGAUAACAACAUACAAAAUUUAGCAAAAGAAGAACACUAAUAACACUAUCAAUCUUCAUAUUUCUUGAUAACAAUAUACAUAAUUUAGCAAAACAAGAACACUAAUAACACUAUCAAUCUUCUCAUUUCUUAAUAACAAAAUAGAAAAUUUAGCAAAACAAGAACACUAAUAACACUAUCAAUCUUCUCAUUUCUUGAUAACAAUAUAA
rnacentral:lncRNA from 1 species